GGUUGUAGCUCAGUGGUGGAGCUCUUGCCUUGCACUUGUGAGGCACUGGGUUCAAUCCUCAGCACCA
rnacentral:tRNA from 1 species